AUUGAACGCUGGCGGCAGGCUUAACACAUGCAAGUCGAGCGGGGUGAUGGUGCUUGCACUAUCACUUAGCGGCGGACGGGUGAGUAAUGCUUAGGAAUCUGCCUAGUAGUGGGGGACAACAUCUCGAAAGGGAUGCUAAUACCGCAUACGUCCUACGGGAGAAAGCAGGGGCUCACUUGUGACCUUGCGCUAAUGGAUGAGCCUAAGGCGGAUUAGCUAGUUGGUGGGGUAAAGGCCUACCAAGGCGACGAUCUGUAGCGGGUCUGAGAGGAUGAUCCGCCACACUGGGACUGAGACACGGCCCAGACUCCUACGGGAGGCAGCAGUGGGGCAUAUUGGACAAUGGGGGGAACCCUGAUCCAGCCCUGCCGCGUGUGUGAAGAAGGCCUUAUGGUUGUAAAGCACUUUCCGCGAGGAGGAGGCUCUUUUUUUUCCUACCCAAGAUGAGUGGACGUUACUCGCAGAAUAAGCACCGGCUAACUCUGUGCCAGCCGCCGCCGUAAUAC
rnacentral:rRNA from 1 species